GGCCACAUAGGGCAGUGGCUAAGCACUUGGCUCCCAAUAGUGUGGAAUACUAAUGUGUAUGGGUUCGAGUCCCGCUGUGGUCG